rnacentral:rRNA from 1 species
CGCCAGCCCGCUCAAGAAACUACAAAGAAGUUGACGGGGCCCGCACAAGCGGAGGAGCAUGUGGUUUAAUUCGAUGAUACGCGAGGAACCUUACCUGGGCUCGAACGUAAGAUGACUGUAGGUGAAAGCUUACAUCUCUUCGGAGCAUUUUACGAGGUGCUGCAUGGUUGUCGUCAGCUCGUGCCGUGAGGUGUCGGGUUAAGUCCCAUAACGAGCGCAACCCUACCUUUAGUUGCCAUCAGGUAAUGCUGGGGACUCUAAAGGAACUGCCUACGCAAGUAGUGAGGAAGGCGGGGAUGACGUCAAAUCAGCACGGCCCUUACGUCCAGGGCUACACACGUGCUACAAUGGCCGAUACAGAGGGCAGCUACCUGGUGACAGGAUGCAAAUCUCCAAAGUCGGUCUCAGUUCGGAUCGGAGUCUGCAACCCGACUCCGUGAAGUUGGAUUCGCUAGUAAUCGCGCAUCAGCCAUGGCGCGGUGAAUACGUUCCCGGGCCUU